AGUGAACGCUGGCGGUAGGCCUAACACAUGCAAGUCGAACGGCAGCACAGUAAGAGCUUGCUCUUACGGGUGGCGAGUGGCGGACGGGUGAGGAAUACAUCGGAAUCUACUUUUUCGUGGGGGAUAACGUAGGGAAACUUACGCUAAUACCGCAUACGACCUACGGGUGAAAGCAGGGGAUCUUCGGACCUUGCGCGAUUGAAUGAGCCGAUGUCGGAUUAGCUAGUUGGCGGGGUAAAGGCCCACCAAGGCGACGAUCCGUAGCUGGUCUGAGAGGAUGAACAGGCACACUGGAACUGAGACACGGUCCAGACUCCUACGGGAGGCAGCAGUGGGGAAUAUUGGACAAUGGGCGCAAGCCUGAUCCAGCCAUACCGCGUGGGUGAAGAAGGCCUUCGGGUGGUAAAGCCCUUUUGUUGGGAAAGAAAAGCAGCAGGUUAAUACCCCGCUGUUCUGACGGUACCCAAAGAAUAAGCACCGGCUAACUUCGUG
rnacentral:rRNA from 1 species